rnacentral:rRNA from 1 species
GAGUUUGAUCAUGGCUCAGAUUGAACGCUGGCGGCAGGCCUAACACAUGCAAGUCGGGCGGUAGAGAGAAGCUUGCUUCUCUUGAGAGCGGCGGACGGGUGAGUAAUGCCUAGGAAUCUGCCUGGUAGUGGGGGAUAACGCUCGGAAACGGACGCUAAUACCGCAUACGUCCUACGGGAGAAAGCAGGGGACCUUCGGGCCUUGCGCUAUCAGAUGAGCCUAGGUCGGAUUAGCUAGUUGGUGAGGUAAUGGCUCACCAAGGCGACGAUCCGUAACUGGUCUGAGAGGAUGAUCAGUCACACUGGAACUGAGACACGGUCCAGACUCCUACGGGAGGCAGCAGUGGGGAAUAUUGGACAAUGGGCGAAAGCCUGAUCCAGCCAUGCCGCGUGUGUGAAGAAGGUCUUCGGAUUGUAAAGCACUUUAAGUUGGGAGGAAGGGCAGUAAAUUAAUACUUUGCUGUUUUGACGUUACCGACAGAAUAAGCACCGGCUAACUCUGUGCCAGCCGCCGG